rnacentral:tRNA from 1 species
GGGCGAGACGGAAUAUAGAGAAAUGAAGUUUCACGCGCUAGACUUAGGAGCUAGUGUAGCAAUACGUGUGGGCUCAAGUCCCACCUCGCCCACCA